rnacentral:lncRNA from 1 species
UCCAUUUUUUAUUUAUCCCUUUUCUCAUUUUUUUUGAAAAUUUCUUCUCAAAAACUAAUUAUACAGUUCAUCAACUCUUCACCUCCCACUAUGAUUAUCUUCUUUAUUAGAGAUUUUAAUAUGUAUUCAUGUAUUCUACCACCUUCCAUCCUUAAUCUUAAUUAAUUUUACUAAUGUAUAGUAAUAAUGUGCUAAAAAUGGGAGAUAAAAAGACAAACUAAUCUCUC